ACACUGCCCCAAGUGACUCUCACAGUGUGUCAGGGGUCAGCACCUCAGCGGAGAGCACAGUGGGGGAGCAGUGUCCUCACUGUAAGAGCACCCUGAAAACCCCCGACGGCGCUGCCAAGAUCCCCAACAGGUACUCUUCUCUGCAGUACAAACAGCAGUGGUGAGGACUAGUGCUGCCCCCUGCUGGCUGCCUCG